rnacentral:rRNA from 1 species
AUACGUAGGGGGCGAGCGUUGUCCGGAAUGAUUGGGCGUAAAGGGCGCGUAGGCGGCCCGGUAAGUCUGGAGUGAAAGUCCUGUUUUUAAGAUGGGAAUUGCUUUGGAUACUGUCGGGCUUGAGUGCAGGAGAGGUAAGUGGAAUUCCCAGUGUAGCGGUGAAAUGCGUAGAGAUUGGGAGGAACACCAGUGGCGAAGGCGACUUACUGGACUGUAACUGACGCUGAGGCGCGAAAGUGUGGGGAGCAAACAGGAUUAGAUACCCUGGUAGUCCACACUGUAAACGAUGAAUGCUAGGUGUAGGGGGUAUCGACUCCCUCUGUGCCGCAGUUAACACAAUAAGUAUUCCGCCUGGGGAGUACGGCCGCAAGGUUGAAACUAAAAGGAAUUGACGGG